rnacentral:lncRNA from 1 species
CAGAAUACCUCUUAGCAUCUCCCCAGGUGGAGAUCCUGAGGAGCUGGCUUUCUGUUUCUAGGAGUGUCAUGGUGACAUGGAAUAGAAGUGCUUUGGAGAGAGCAUGAAGCAGAUGUUAACAUUCUACCACUGACUACAGGGGCUGGAUAGUGUGGCCAAGAAAGUCUUUGGUUGCCUAUAGAAGCAUUCAUGAAAGGCUUGUUAGCUCCAGCUACUUCCUCUUUAAGGGGGAAUGGAGCCUAUUAACUUAUGAUUUCAAAAGAUCUGGAGGGAGCCAUCUGGCAUUCCAAAGUUCAGGUGCACACAAUGCCCUCAUCCUUCUGCAAAGGUUGCCUGCUGCUGAGGCCAAGGUUACCUGAUGCUGCUUGGAAAGACUGAGGACUUAAGUGGAAGGCAUCAUUGCUAGGGGCCCACCUUCCAAUCCAAUCUGCUGAGCUAAUUAGUUGCAGAGGCUCCAGGUCUAUCAAGACAAUAAGCUUUCUUCUGAACUGAAUGAGAAGAGGUGUUUGAGAAGCUGGGGAAACCUGAAAAGCAACUUGGGCUCCCAUCAAAGAAUGAAUGGGCCCGUUUGGGAUAUAUGUAAAUGUGGCUUUAAGAAAGAAAAAUAAAUGUUGCAAGAGAAUAUAUCA